CGCUGGCGGCGUGCUUAACACAUGCGAGUCGAACGGAAAGGCCCUGCUUUGUGGGGUGCUCGAGUGGCGAACGGGUGAGUAACACGUGAGUAACCUGCCCUUGACUUUGGGAUAACUUCAGGAAACUGGGGCUAAUACCGGAUAGGAGCUCCUGCUGCAUGGUGGGGGUUGGAGAGUUUCGGCGGUUGGGGAUGGACUCGCGGCUUAUCAGCUUGUUGGUGGGGUAGUGGCUUACCAAGGCAUUGACGGGUAGCCGGCCUGAGAGGGUGACCGGCCACAUUGGGACUGAGAUACGGCCCAGACUCCUACGGGAGGCAGCAGUGGGGAAUAUUGCACAAUGGGCGGAAGCCUGAUGCAGCAACGCCGCGUGCGGGAUGACGGCCUUCGGGUUGUAAACCGCUUUCGCCUGUGACGAAGCGUGAGUGACGGUAAUGGGUAAAGAAGCACCGGCUAACUACGUG
rnacentral:rRNA from 1 species